GAAUAAUCUGAAAACCAGAGAUCAAGCAGGAAGGAGGCCAGUCCAGGCCUUCAGAGGAAAGCAACGGCAGCUGGUCAGGAGCAGGGGCUGCGAGGAUGAACGGGAGUGUGGUCUACUUGGGGCGGCUCUGCACCCUACUCCAUUUGGCCAUGCGCCUCUUAGAGCAAAUGCCUUUUAGGCCCUCUUUGAGCUCAGCAGUGGGGAAGGGGUCUCCAGGAGGAAAUUUCUGAGCAAUGCCCACUGUAAUCAGUGUUGAACUUUCCUUUCAUGGACCACGUCUUCAGUCUUCAAGUACAUAAGAAAAAUUUGCAUCUGCGAUGGUGAAUAUUAGGUGGCAACUUGAUUGGACUAAGAGAUGCCCAGAUGACUGGUGAAGGACUGUUUCUGGGUAAGUCUGUGAGGGUGCUGGCAGAGGAGACUACAUCUAGGUCAGUGGACUGGGAGAGGAGGGCCCACUCUCAGUGUGGGUGGGCACCGUUCAGUCAGUCGCUAGCAUGGCUGGAACAAGGCAGGUGGAAGCAGAUGGGAUAAACUGGCUUGCUGGGUCUUCUGGCUCUCUUUCUUCUUCCUGGGCUGGAUGCUUCCUCCCCCCCUGCCCUUGGACAUCAGACUCCAGGUUCUUUGGCCUUUGGACUCUGGGACUUGCACCAGCGACUCUUGGGCCUUCAGCCAUAGACUAAAGGCUGCACUGUUGGCUUCCCUGUUUUUGAAGCUUUAGGACUCAGACUGAGUCACUUACCAGCUUUUCUCUUUCCCCAGCUUGCAGAUGGCCUAUCAUGGGACUUCACCUUGUCAUCAUGUGAGCUGAUUCUCCCUAAUGAACUCCCUUUCACAUAUACAUAGAUUCCACUGGUUCUGUCUGUCUGGAGAACCCUGACUGAUAUAACAUCCAAGAUAUAAGAAGUACUACCUGCUUUCGUGUUUAGCGAAUGAUAUGGCACAAGGCUCGCUGACAUGGCAAACCUGUGAAAUACAUUUCAGUUCUCCGAAACCCAGUUUACGGACAAUGGUUCCAGGAAAUCCAUCAUUGCACCAUGGCAGGGAUAGUCAGUUACAUGUUGAUGAACUAUUCUCCAGGUGGCCACUGGCUCUUCCACCCAC
rnacentral:lncRNA from 1 species